rnacentral:rRNA from 1 species
ACCCAAGGCGGGGAUAGCAGUUGGAAACGACUAUUAAUACCGCAUAGGUAAUCGGGAGGCAUCUCCUGAUUAUUAAAGGUGCGUUUGCACCGCUGUGGGAUGGGCUUACGCUGUAUUAGCUUGUUGGUGAGGUAACGGCCCACCAAGGCGAUGAUACAUAGCCGGUCUGAGAGGAUGAACGGCCACAUUGGGACUGAGACACGGCCCAGACUCCUACGGGAGGCAGCAGUAAGGAAUUUUCGGCAAUGGACGAAAGUCUGACCGAGCAACGCCGCGUGAGUGAUUAGAAGGCCUUCGGGUCGUAAAGCUCUGUGGUAAAGGAAGAACACUAUGAUUAGGAAAUGAUUCAUAGCUGACGGUACUUUUCUAGAAAGUCACGGCUUACUACGUGCCAGCAGCCGC